UGAGGUUUAGGAUUAGGGAAGAGAAUAUCGGGGUUUAGGAUUAGGGAAGAGAAUAUUGAGGUUUAGGAUUAGGGAAGAGAAUAUUGAGGUUUAGGAUUAGGGAAGAGAAUAUUGUGGUUUAGGAUUAGGGAAGAAAGUAUUUACCCACCAAUAUUGGUUGUCCACUAAUCGCAGUGUUGGCGGCUCUAUGCCUCCACAUGCCGAAGUGUCCUUGGGCAGGAUGCUGAACCCCAAGUUGCUCCCGAUCGCAAGCUGGCCCCUCGCAUGAAUGAAGGCAACCCUUGUGAGAAGGAAAUGCUCCUUUAUCAUUUGGUACCUUUAAAUUUGCCAGCG
ensembl:lncRNA